CCCGUGGCCCCGGGGCUCAGGGGCAGCCCAGGACUCUCCCUCGCCCGGCUCACGGCCCUGCCUGGGGGGCGCCUCCGGGAGCAGAUCACGAGCCCUGGGGCUCAGCCCUCAGGCGCGUCUAGCUCGGCGGUCACCCCAGUGCCGGGAGGACCCUGAAGACGCGCCCCAGGCGGCCCUACUCAGAGCCUCCUCCCAAGGCCCAGGAAUGCGGCGCUGUCGGAGGUGUGCGCGGUGGCCACACCGCUGUCCGGGUCCCCAAAGCGGGCCCCGCUCCCACUUCUCGCCUUGGCCCCGAACCCUGGGUCCAGCCCCAGCGCUUUGUGUGCGAACACCGCUCCGCCCCGGACCCAGCUCCGCCUUGGGGCCCCUCUCUGCCUGCCCCUCCGUGCCCGACUACACUGCUUCCCCUCCGGCGGGCGACUCAGCCCGGUCCAUCGUGGCGGCUUCCAGGGCGGCAGGCUCCGGGAGUACUCCCGGGGCCGGCUCCAAGGACUGUUCCCCUCCUCCCCACUCCCACUCCGCGGCGGCGGCGGGCGAGAGCGGCGACAUAGGGCCAGGGUCCGGAGCGGUGGAGGCUCCUGGCCGGGGAGCACGUCGCCCCACCCGGCAACGCGAGGAUGGUGGCGGCGCAGUCGGCUGCUUUGGGGUCUCAAGGCACAGGGGACGCGAGGCACAGAUGUCCCACAGCAGCCACUGCGGCUCCCGCAGCUGCUCCGCCGCCGCUGCCCGCCCCUCCCUGCUGCAGCUGGCGUGAUGGCAGCGGCAGCUCUGGACGCCCCACUGCUGCCACCAUCAGCCUUGUGAAAUAGCUUGAAAGAUCUAGCCACGUGAGCAGGACAGAAGUGCACAACAACCAUAUCUUGAUUUCUGUGGACCAGGUGGGGCCCCUGCCAGCCUUGCUAGACAGACCCAGGUGAACAGUCCUUCUAGGGGAUCUCAUCACCAGGCAAGCACGUGGUACGAGAAGAGCAGUCAUUAGGAAGGCCAUUUGGAAAAGCACAUCCUCUCUGUUCACGUGAGAUAUUUUACAUCCUCAUUCCUCAUCGCAAGCUUCCUGGGAUUUGGAGUGUCACAGACAAGAGGGUUGGGGGAGGCCAGUAGGUAUGGAUUUGUUUAUAUGUUUAUAUUAAAACAUAUAUGUUUGUUUAUAUUAAAAUGAGCAUAUGAAUAUUUCUGUAUACUUCAGAUAAACAUUCUUUUCCAUAAAUAAGCUUCAUCAUCCAGAAGCCAUGUUGAAAGUUGGUAAUCAAGGAUAGGAAGUGUUUCCAAGGGUUGUCAGUGAUUAAAUCAACCUUACCUUAGCAUACAUGUAUGAGAGAAGUUAGAUAAAUUAUACAUAGAGAGAUAGCUAGAUAGAUAAUAGAUAAAUAAGGUAGAUGACAGAUUAGAUACAGAUGAUAAACAGAUAUGCUAUCAGUCUAGAUCUAUUACUCACAGUCAGUCGUAUCACAGUGUAAUUCCAUCAACUUCAUUUGCAGCAAAAGAACAGCCCCUGAUGUACGCCUGUUUCCUGAAUAUUUGGAAAUAUUAAUAUUAAUAUAGAUAGAGUCAGCUUGCCAGUAUAAAGAAUCUAUCUCUCACUAUAGGCAGAGCCAUGUGUUGGAUAUUAUGGAGGAAUAUGUAUUAUUUUAAUCGUUUAAAAGACUAAUAAACUUCUAAUCUACUUUUGGGAGCCUCUGCUCAAGUUCCUGAGGUUCCUACUCUAAAAUCCACAUCACCCUCCAACUGCUCCCUAUGUGAGCCAUUAGGGAGCACAAUGAAUUAGAGAAUGAAUCCUAUUAGCCCACUAAAAAAUUAUCUUUCAAAGGAUGAAGACUGAUGCUAAGGAAAAAGAGAUGAGGCCUCCCUGGUUCCGCAUUAUUACUCCUUCCUUUCUUGGGUUACGGAUUGAACACUGACCUUUUCUUUCACUCUUCUGCAAGACAACCCCAUAAGAAAGCUGAAACCUGCUUUUGUGAAAGCCUAUGAUUACUAUAAGACAGGUGAGCAAAACAGAAUCCUAGAUAAACUCAGUUCUUUCCAGUGUGGUGUCUUUGAUGGAAAAAUAAAAUAAAAGCCAAUGUG
rnacentral:lncRNA from 1 species